rnacentral:rRNA from 1 species
UACAGAGGUCUCAAGCGUUGUUCGGAUUCAUUGGGCGUAAAGGGCGCGUAGGCUGCGGGGCAAGUCGGGUGUGAAAUCUCAGAGCUCAACUCUGAAACUGCACUCGAUACUGCUUUGCUCGAGGACUGGAGAGGAGAUUGGAAUUCACGGUGUAGCAGUGAAAUGCGUAGAUAUCGUGAGGAAGACCAGUGGCGAAGGCGGCGCUCUGGGCCGGAACUGACGCUGAGGAGCGAAAGCGUGGGUAGCAAACAGG